UGGGGACAUACCCAACACAUAUAUACAUGCCAAUUUGUACGCAAUAUAUAACCAUUAUAAAAUUACAAGAUACAUGUAUUCAUUUGUUUUUUUAGUUAGAAAAAAUAAUUUACAAUAUUAUUCCGAAACUUCACUACAAACUUUUGGAGAGUACAAAAGGAAUCACAUAAAUUUUCCCUAAUAUAAAUAGUUGAUAUCUUAGACCAUCUACAAAUGCUAAAAAAGGACUAGUCUAAGUGUAAUAUUAUUAUUAGUAUAAUUAAAUAUUGAAUUUCAUAAAAUUUAAUAUAAUAAUUUUUAAGAGAUAUCGCUAACUAAUCACAAGACGACAUCUCUAGAAAAUACUAGGCACCAUUAGUGUCCAACUCUUUUAUGUCGUAGUAUUUUUUAUAACCUUUUGUUGUCUUGAUUUUGCGUGUGAUGAAUGAAAAUUUUAUCUAAAUUUGCUACUGAUUUUUUAUAUUUAUGUCAAAAAAGAAGUUGUUGCUAUUGAUUUUUUUGGUUAUUUAUUGCAACUCAUUUUUUAUUUUGGCUAUGUCAAAAAAUAUAUUGCUACAAAAAAUUUUGGCUAUAUAUUGCUACUGUUUUUUUCUUAUAUUGCUACUGAUAUUCUUUUUGAAUUGUAGAUAAUAAAUAUAUGGUCAAGAGAUUCCCACCAAAAGAGAAGACUAUGAAUAUUGUUGAAUAAUUUAUUUUAUGAAAAUUUUCAAUUUUAUUUUAAGUUUAUAAUCACUAUGGACAACUUUAAAUGAUUUUCAAGACUUAUAUUUAAAUUUGGAAUUUGGAUGACUAUAAUGCUGUAACUUUUGGUUGAUUAUACUUAUGUUUGAAAUUUAUAUUUUUCAUAUGUUAGGUAUGUAUUUGAUAAUAUUAACAUCUAUUUUUUUUUAUGUAAAAUAAGGGUUAAGGUUGGAUUGUAUAAUAAAAAGAAGGGAUAAUUGCGGCAAAAGUCCCCAAAAACUUGAGGUUGAUGCCGAUUAGUCCUCAACCUCAAAAAUUGGCGGUGAAAAUACCUAAGGUCUCAAUUUUUGUUUGUCCGUUGGUCCUUUUUCUAACGGAUCCGUUAACCCAAAUAAAGUGCCACGUGUCAAUUUUUUAUUGAUCUAAAUAAUAAUUUUAAUUAAAAAAUUUUAAAAAUAAAUAAAAAACUAAAAAAUAUAUUUUAAAAUUAUAAAUUUAUUUUAUUUUAUAUUUUCUUUUUUUUUUAUUCAUCUUCUCCAACCCGCCACCAAAAACUAACCCUACAGACGUCAUCUUAUUCCGCCUCUUCUUCCCUCUACAUUCUCUAAGAUCAUCAGAUCUCCAAGCCAGAUUGUGGGCAUCUUCGGCAUCGUAACGCCCAAACGAGCACCACCACUAGACGUAGCACCCCUUGAAACGUCGAUUUCGCACUCUGCCAUUCCCAGUCAGACCUAUGCCCAAUCGUCUAUCACCACAGUUCUUCUCUUCUUCGAAGACCAAAACCCAGAGAAAUCGAAGACCAAAGGAUCUCACUCCCGGACCACCAACCCUCUCUCCAUUUUCAGAUCUGUUUGCACCACCAACCCUCGCCCCGCCACCCCUGGAGUUUCGCCUCCGGCGGAUGGUGGUAGUGGUGCCAUCUCGGAGUCCCCGUCGCACUGAACCACCCCCAAAUUAGGAUACGUUGAGAAAAAUUCACCCUCCGAGACCAGAUUGGUAUGAAGAAUUCUAUGCUUCAGUUCUGGAUACGAGCAUGAAAUCUUAUGAAGCUGAGAUUGCAGGUUACAAGUCUGAGCUGUUUGCUAAUUUGAGAGGAAAGGCUUAAAGAGUGGUAGAGAUUGGGAUUGGGACGGAUCCAAAUCUUAGGUACUAUGGUGGAGAUAAAGGUGUCCAAGUUUUUGGGGUGGAUCCAAACAAAAAGAUGGAGAAAUAUGCCAAGUCUU